rnacentral:rRNA from 1 species
UGCAAGUCGAGCGGAUGAGGGUAGCUUGCUACCUGAUUCAGCGGCGGACGGGUGAGUAAUGCCUAGGAAUCUGCCCGAUAGUGGGGGACAACGUUUCGAAAGGAACGCUAAUACCGCAUACGUCCUACGGGAGAAAGCAGGGGACCUUCGGGCCUUGCGCUAUCGGAUGAGCCUAGGUCGGAUUAGCUAGUUGGUGGGGUAAAGGCUCACCAAGGCGACGAUCCGUAACUGGUCUGAGAGGAUGAUCAGUCACACUGGAACUGAGACACGGUCCAGACUCCUACGGGAGGCAGCAGUGGGGAAUAUUGGACAAUGGGCGAAAGCCUGAUCCAGCCAUGCCGCGUGUGUGAAGAAGGUCUUCGGAUUGUAAAGCACUUUAAGCUGGGAGGAAGGGCAGUAAGUUAAUACCUUGCUGUUUUGACGUUACCAGCAGAAUAAGCACCGGCUAACUUCGUGCCAGCAGCCGCGGUAAUACGAAGGGUGCAAGCGUUAAUCGGAAUUACUGGGCGUAAAGCGCGCGUAGGUGGUUCAGCAAGUUGGAUGUGAAAGCCCCGGGCUCAACCUGGGAACUGCAUCCAAAACUACUGGGCUAGAGUAUGGUAGAGGGUGGUGGAAUUUCCUGUGUAGCGGUGAAAUGC